rnacentral:rRNA from 1 species
UACGUAGGGGGCGAGCGUUGUCCGGAUUUACUGGGCGUAAAGCGCGUGUAGGCGGAAGCUUAAGCGCGGCCUGAAAGCCCCCGGCUCAACCGGGGAGAGUGGUCGCGAACUGGGCUUCUUGAGGGCGACAGAGGAGGGUGGAAUUCCUGGUGUAGCGGUGAAAUGCGUAGAGAUCAGGAGGAACACCGGUGGCGAAGGCGGCCCUCUGGGUCGGCCCUGACGCUGAGACGCGAAAGCGUGGGGAGCGAACGGG